GCAUAUCAAUAAGCGGAGGAAAAGAAACCAACAGGGAUUGCCCUAGUAACGGCGAGUGAAGCGGCAACAGCUCAAAUUUGAAAUCUGGCGCAAGCCCGAGUUGUAAUUUGUAGAGGAUGCUUCUGGGCAGCGGCCGUUUUAAGUUCCUUGGAACAGGACGUCAUAGAGGGUGAGAAUCCCGUAUGUGACCGGCACGUACCCUUUACGUAGCUCCUUCGACGAGUCGAGUUGUUUGGGAAUGCAGCUCUAAAUGGGAGGUAAAUUCCUUCUAAAGCUAAAUACCGGCCAGAGACCGAUAGCGCACAAGUAGAGUGAUCGAAAGAUGAAAAGCACUUUGGAAAGAGAGUUAAAAAGCACGUGAAAUUGUUGAAAGGGAAGCGCUUACAACCAGACUUCGUGGCGGUGUUCCGCCGGUCUUCUGACCGGUUCAUUCGCCGCCGCGAGGCCAGCAUCGUCUGGGGCCGCCGGAUAAGACCUUAGGAAUGUAGCUUGCCUCGGUAAGUGUUAUAGCCUAGGGUGAUGCGGCGUGCCUCGGGCGAGGUCCGCGCUUCGGCAAGGAUGCUGGCGUAAUGGUUGUCAGCGGCCCGUCUUGAAACACGGACC
rnacentral:rRNA from 1 species